rnacentral:rRNA from 1 species
GACGAACGCUGGCGGCGUGCUUAACACAUGCAAGUCGAACGGAAAGGCCCUGCUUUUGUGGGGUGCUCGAGUGGCGAACGGGUGAGUAACACGUGAGUAACCUGCCCUUGACUUUGGGAUAACUUCAGGAAACUGGGGCUAAUACCGGAUAGGAGCUCCUGCUGCAUGGUGGGGGUUGGAAAGUUUCGGCGGUUGGGGAUGGACUCGCGGCUUAUCAGCUUGUUGGUGGGGUAGUGGCUUACCAAGGCUUUGACGGGUAGCCGGCCUGAGAGGGUGACCGGCCACAUUGGGACUGAGAUACGGCCCAGAGUCCUACGGGGGGCAGCAGGGGGGAAUAUUGCACAAUGGGGGGAAGCCUGAUGCAGCAGCGCCGCGUGCGGAAUGACGGCCUUCGGGUUGUAAACCGCUUUCGCCUGUGACGAAGCGUGAGUGACGGUAAUGGGUAAAGAAGCACCGGCUAACUACGUG